rnacentral:rRNA from 1 species
GACGAACGCUGGCGGCGUGCCUAAUACAUGCAAGUAGAACGCAGUUGCGAACGGGUGAGUAACGCGUAGGUAACUGCCUCAUAGCGGGGGAUAACUAUUGGAAACGAUAGCUAAUACCGCAUACUGUGAGAUGGACCUGCGUUGUAUUAGCUAGUUGGUGAGGUAAAGGCCCACCAAGGCGACGGUACAUAGCCGACUUGGGAGGGUGAACGGCCCAAAUGGGACUGGGACAAGGCCCAGAAUUCUACGGGAGGCAGCAGUAGGGAAUCUUCGGCAAAGGACGGAAGUCUGACCGAGCAACGCCGGGUGGGUGGAGAAGGUUUUCGGAUCGUAAAGCUCUGUUGUGCGAGAAGCGUUAACUAACCAGAAAGGGACGGCUAACUACGUGCCAGCAGCCGCGGUAAUAC